GACGAACGCUGGCGGCGUGCUUAACACAUGCAAGUCGAACGGUAAGGCCCUUCGGGGUACACGAGUGGCGAACGGGUGAGUAACACGUGGUGAUCUGCCCUGCACUUCGGGAUAAGCCUGGGAAACUGGGUCUAAUACCGGAUAGGACCCUGGGAUGCAUGUCCUAGGGUGGAAAGCUUUUGCGGUGUGGGAUGGGCCCGCGGCCUAUCAGCUUGUUGGUGGGGUGAUGGCCUACCAAGGCGACGACGGGUAGCCGGCCUGAGAGGGGGACAGGCCGAACUGGGACUGGGGUACGGCCCAGAGUCCUACGGGAGGCAGGAGUGGGGAAUGUUGCACAAUGGGCGCAAGCCUGAUGCAGCGACGCCGCGUGAGGGAUGACGGCCUUCGGGUUGUAAACCUCUUUCAGCACCGACGAAGCGCAAGUGACGGUAGGUGCAGAAGAGGGACCGGCCAACUACGUGCCAGCCGCCGCCGUAA
rnacentral:rRNA from 1 species